CCUGGCUCGUUAGGCCGCGGCCCGGCAAAUGGCUCACUAAUGUAACACUGCUUCCUGGUCUAAUGGAGCCCUGUUUUGCAGAAUUAUUUGUCUUUGCUCUCCGCGGGAAGCCAGGGGGGCCACCAACAGCGAGGAGGAGAGGAGGAGGAAAGAACGGUGUGGCCCCUCUUGUUCUCCUUGCCGUACUCCAUCGAGGUCACAUCUGUCUCUCUGGCCCCGUGCACCACACCAGGUUGGUACGUACGUGUUGUUUCUGCAGUGCGUUCUGUGUGGGACGGUGAACUGGACACACUGCUGCUGUGAUUGGAUG